UCCUUCGGGGCUGGGGACAGCGGCGAACGGGUGAGUAACACGUGGGUAAUCUGCCCUCGGCACCGGAAUAGCCCGGGGAAACCCGGAUUAAUGCCGGAUGGCCUCUCUGCCCUUCGGGGCGGCGAGAAAAGGUAGCUUCGGCCUCCGGCCGAGGAUGAGCCCGCGGCCGAUUAGCUUGUUGGUGAGGUAACGGCUCACCAAGGCGACGAUCGGUAGCUGGUCUGAGAGGACGAUCAGCCACACUGGGACUGAGACACGGCCCAGACUCCUACGGGAGGCAGCAGUGGGGAAUCUUGCGCAAUGGGCGAAAGCCUGACGCAGCGACGCCGCGUGCGGGAAGAAGGCCUUCGGGUUGUAAACCGCUUUCAGGAGGGACGAAGCCACUCGGGUUAAUAGCCUAGAGGGUGACGGUACCUCCAGAAGAAGCCCCGGCUAACUACGUGCCAGCAGCCGCGGUAAUACGUAGGGGGCUAGCGUUGUCCGGAUUUAUUGGGCGUAAAGAGCGUGUAGGCGGCCAGGUAGGUCCGGUGUGAAAACUCGAGGCUUAACCUCGAGAUGUCAUCGGAAACCAUCUGGCUAGAGUCCGGAAGAGGAGAGUGGAAUUCCUGGUGUAGCGGUGAAAUGCGCAGAUAUCAGGAAGAACACCAAUGGCGAAAGCAGCUCUCUGGGACGGUACUGACGCUGAGACGCGAAAGCGUGGGGAGCGAACAGGAUUAGAUACCCUGGUAGUCCACGCCGUAAACGAUGGGCGCUAGGUGUGGGCGGUGUCGACUCCGUCCGUGCCGAAGCUAACGCAUUAAGCG
rnacentral:rRNA from 1 species